GACGAACGCUGGCGGCGUGCCUAAUACAUGCAAGUCGAACGCAGUUGCGAACGGGUGAGUAACGCGUAGGUAACUGCCCCAUUGUGGGGGAUAACUAUUGGAAACGAUAGCUAAUACCGCAUACUGUGAGAUGGACCUGCGUUGUAUUAGCUAGUUGGUGAGGUAAAGGCUGACCAAGGCGACGAUACAUAGCCGACCUGAGAGGGUGAGCGGGCGAACUGGGACUGAGACACGGCCCGGACUCCUACGGGAGGAAGCAGUAGGGAAUCUUGGGAGAUUGACGGAAGUCUGACCAAGCGACGCCGCGUGAGUGAAUAAGGUUUUCGGAUCGUAAAGCUCUGUUGUUAGAGAAGCGGUAGCUAACCAAAAAGGGACGGCUAACUACGUGCCAGCAGCCGCGGUAAUUC
rnacentral:rRNA from 1 species